CGGGGCUGGGGAUCUGAGAGGAGGGGUGCGGAGGGGGGGGCCGGGAACAUCCUGAGGGCAUCCUAGGAAGUGAGGCUAUGGUAAGGCCAUCCUGGGGUUCAGAGACCCCUGUCGGUGGGGCAGGAAGGAGAUGCUGCACGGCCCCCACCAACACCCUCUGCCCUCUCCCUCCAUGUCUCAGUUUGGCUGUUGUUGGGACACACUCUGGGAGUGCAGAGGUCGGGACCAUGGUCAGUGGUGGGGCAGGGCGAGGGGUGAAGGCAGCAGGGACAGGGAUCUGGUUGGGAGGGAGAGUGGCCUCUCCUCAGUGGGUCCUUGAUCAAGUCUCUGCCCCUCUGUGGGCCUCAGUCUCCUCCUCUGGGAAAUGGAGCUAGAUGACGUGGUGCAGGCCUCACGGUGGGGUGAUACCGUCCAAGGGAGUACAGGAAUGGGAGGAGAUUUGUGCUGGCUUCUCCUCGAGAGGUGAGGGGAGAGCAGUGAUGACAGUCAGAUGACACGGAGUCCUCAGGAGAGCGCUGGAGGAAGGUAGAGUUCUCCCCACUCUUUCCUGAUGAGGAAAGAGGCUCAGGGAGGCCUGGGCAGGCCCAAGGUCACACAGGAGUGAGUCCUGGAGCCAGGACUAGUCUAGAAUCAGAGCACACUGGAGGUGGGAACAGCAUAGGCAGCAGGGGACUGGAGCCAGAUGGCCAGGGUCUGAGGACAGGGACCUUGGGGAACAUGUGGAAGGGAGCAGGACCUCUCUGACGCUGUCCUCGGCACUGACAGGAGGUGACCUCCGUGUUGGCCACUGCACAGAGGGCCUGCCAUGCAGCCUGGGAGAGGUGGCGUCAGCAGGUGAGGGUGCCUGUGGGGGAGGUGCCCAGGAGUCAGAGGAGAGGGCACUCCCCAUCCCAGCUAGAUGCCUCCCCCAGGAGAGGGGCCUUCCUUCUCCAGUGCAUCUGCUGUGGCUGCCGAGCCUGAAGUGCCUGCAUUGGCAGUGAGCAGGAUGAGGCCUGGAAGGGCUGGGAGCAGUAUGGUUUUGGGGUUGGGAGGGGCAGGGGCCACACUCCAUGGGAUUGGCCCUCAGCCAGCCCUGGGACAUGACUGGGGGAGUUUGGUGUUCCUGGAGGGGAGGGGAGGAGGGAAUUGUGUGUGGUGGGGGCUCCUGAGGGUUCUAGGCUACUGUAUGUAGGAGUCUGGGGUGGGCAGGUGGCUUGGGUAAGGUGUUUCAGGGGAGGGUUCAUGGGGGCACCUGAGUGCUGGAACUCAUCACCAUCCCCACCUUGAUGGAGUGGGUGUCAUCCCCUCCCUCGAGAUGAUCUUCAGGUACCUGGAGCUGCUGCAUGAUGAGAUGGAUUAUUAUGUGGAGGGGAAUGUGCUCAGCUGUCGGAAUGAAGAAUUUAAAUUCAUCAAGGACAUCAAGCUGGUCUAGAAGGCUGCAAAUCUGUACACCGUGCGGCCCGAUCAGCACUUUGGGGCCUGGUUCCAGGCCAUGGAGCCCCUGAGCGAGGAGGCGAGCUACUGCCUGUCCUGUCAGCUGGAGCCACAAUACCAGUGGACCAGAAAGAUUCGACUCUUCUUCAAAGACAAGAAGAGCCACUCAUCUUCCAGCCCAGGGCUGAGUGAGUGUCUGGACUGGCAGUGGCUGAAUCCAGGGGCUCAGUACAGAUUCAGGCCAAGUCUGGGCCCGGGGAGUCGGACAGCUGUGGUGCUGGGGCCCCAGCUCCACCGCUGAGCAGUCCUGUCAUGGGUGAUUCCCCUCGCAUUUCUGGGACUGGUUUGUUCCUCUGUGAAGUGGGUGACACUAAAUAUCAGCCCCUGUGUCAGGGACAUGGGGUGCUAUUGGCUGAUCAUUCAGCACCGAGGCUGGGUCACAGGGUACAGUGGGUGUAGGGAAGGGGGAGAGUAUGCUGUGAUUCUGGGGGAGGCCCUGUAGGAAAUUCCACGCUCUAUCCAGACACUAGGCCCCCAAAAAAGAGCCCAACAGUGGUGGCAGAUGACGCUCCUUAGACCAGCUGAACUACACCAGGGACACAGCGGGGACACUCAGGUGCACGGGGCCAAUUCUCAGAUGCUGAUGUGAAUGUAAACUUUGUGAUCCAUUUCCUGGGGGUCCCUGAAGGCCACAAGGGAGUGGACGAUCCCACCAUCUCCCUCACACAUGUUCCCCAGUGCCUAUUUUCCCUCUUUAGAGGGGCCAUGUUUUUGUUGUCAAUGAUAAAUGCUAAGUUUGGGUAUUCUAUUAAA